rnacentral:rRNA from 1 species
UAUUUUUCUUUUUAAUUUAUUUUAGUAUUGCAUACUAUAAAAGUAUUAUUUUAUGUUUAUGAAUGAUAGAAUAAGUGUGUUUAAGGUUUGGUUUGUUUUUUUUUUACGAAAUUAAUUUUAUCAAACUUGGUGUUGAAAUAUCGUACACUUAGAUAUCUGUUUUUUUUUUUUAUAUUAGAAAAUUAUAUAUUUAUUUUUUUUUUUAAGGAGUUUAAUGUUUGAAGUACGAUUCUUUCAUGUGUUAUAACUUUUCCUUAUUUUAUAUUUUUUUUUUGUUUUUUUUUUUAUAAUUUUUUAUAUUAUUUUUUAUCUUUUAAUUAGUAGAUUUUUAUAUUAUGUUUGUUUUUUUAAUAUAAUUUGAUUACUCUAGAUCAAGAUCAAAUGUUUAUUAAAGACUUAGGAUUUAUUUUAAAUCUGUCUUCUGCCCAGUGAUUUUUUUAAAUGGCAGUCUUAGCGUGAGGACAUUAAGGUAGCAAAAUAAUUUGUGCUUUUAUUGGGUUCCAGUAUGAAUGAAGGUUUUGGUCGGUGUUUUUCUUUUUUUUUUUUGAAUUUAAUAUCUAUCUAAGAAAAGAUAGUUAUAAAAAUACAAAGAUAAGUCUUCGGAAAUUUUUUUUUUUAUUGAUUUUUUUUUUUUUAAAAAAGUUUUCUAGGGAAGAUUAUUAUAUAAUUUUUUUUUUCUAUUUUUAUUUUAAUAAAUUACUCCGGAGUUAACAGAAAAACAUACUUUAUAUAGUUCUUAUAUUAGAGUUAGUUUUACAUCGAUGUUGUAUUUUUGUUAGCUAAGAAAGAAUAAGGCUUAGUUUUUGAGACUGUUCUUCUUUUAAAAAAUGAAACGUGAUAUUAGUUUAAUUCAUCGCGAGAUAGAAUUGUUUAUCUUGAUUUUUAUUUUUUUUUUAUUUAGGUUAGUACGAAAGGAACAUCAUUUUUGUUUUAAACUU